rnacentral:rRNA from 1 species
GACGAACGCUGGCGGCGUGCUUAACACAUGCAAGUCGAACGGAAAGGCCCUGCUUUUGUGGGGUGCUCGAUUGGCGAACGGGUGAGUAACACGUGAGUAACCUGCCCUUGACUUUGGGAUAACUUCAGGAAACUGGGGCUAAUACCGGAUAGGAGCUCCUGCUGCAUGGUGGUGGUUGGAAAGUUUCGGCGGUUGGGGAUGGACUCGCGGCUUAUCAGCUUGUUGGUGGGGUAGUGGCUUACCAAGGCUUUGACGGGUAGCCGGCCUGAGAGGGUGACCGGCCACAUUGGGACUGAGAUACGGCGCAGAAGCCUACGGGAGGCAGCAGUGGGGAAUAUUGCACAAUGGGCGGAAGCCAGAUGCAGCAACGCCGCGAGCGGGAUGCCGGCCUUCGGGUUGUAAACCGAUUUCGCCUGUGACGAAGCGUGAGUGACGGUAAUGGGUAAAGAAGCAACGGCUAACUACGUG